CUCGCUUCUCGGCCUUUUGGCUAAGAUCAAGUGUAGUAAACAGCUAUUGUAAAUAUGCUCCAUAUGUUCAGGAAGGUACCAAGUAAAAAGAAAACUUGUGUUCACAUAAAGCUGUGUACAAAAAUGUUUACAGAGGUUUUAUUUACAAUCCCUAAAAAACUGGAAACUUUCU
rnacentral:snRNA from 1 species